CUACAAUUUAGCUGACUGUUAUGGUUCAAAGAUUCUAUGAAUGCAGUCUCUGGUUUUUUUUUUUGUUUUCUUUUCAAGUGGUUUGCAAAACACUGGAGUAUUCCACAGCACCUAACACUCCUCCUGUUAGCGUGGGGUUCCAUGGGGAAGAUUUGCCUUCCUCUCUAUGCAUCCGAAAUAUUUAACAGGUAGGCAGGAUUCAGCUACAUGAAUCGUCAUUAACUGCUUCAACAUCAACAGAACUGACGAGGG